rnacentral:tRNA from 1 species
AGCAGUGUGGCUCAGUGUAGAGUAUCUGCUUUGUAUGUUGAAAGCCCCAGGUUCAGUCCCUGGCAUCUCCAGCUA